GAGCAGGUGUUGGCAAAGAGCAAUGCUAUGAACAUGAGUAAGCACUUAUAUACUGAAGCCUGGGACAAUGAUAAGAAAACGAUCCACGUCAUGCCAGACACACCAGAAAUCAUGCUUGCCAAACAAAAUCGCAUAAACUACAGUCAUAAACUCUAUAAACUUGCUUUGGAAGAGUCCAGGAAGGAAGGCUAUGACUUGCGUUUGGA